rnacentral:rRNA from 1 species
UACUACCGAAGCUACGGCAUCAGUAAUGAUGGGUAGGGGAGCUUCCCAUACGGGUUGAAGCAUGACCGUAAGGACAUGUGGACAGUAUGGGAGUGAGAAUGUUGGCAUGAGUAGCGAGAUGUGGGUGGGAAUCCCACAGGCCGUAAACCCAAGGUUUCCAGGGGAAGGUUCGUCCGCCCUGGGUUAGUCGGGACCUAAGCUGAGGCCGAAAGGCGUAGGUGAUGGACAACAGGUUGAUAUUCCUGUACUACCGAUAACCGUUUGAGAGAAGGGAUGACACAGUAGGAUAAGCUAAGCACACUGUUGGUUAUGUGUGCCCAAGCAUUGAGGCAGUCAAAGUAGGCAAAUCCGCUUUGAUAAUGCUGGGAUGUGAUGGGGAGCGAAAUUUAGUAGCGAAGUAGCUGAUUUCACACUGUCAAGAAAAGUCUCAAUCGAGGUUAAAGGUACCCGUACCGCAAACCGACACAGGUG